rnacentral:rRNA from 1 species
GAUGAACGCUGGCGGCGUGCCUAAUACAUGCAAGUCGAGCGAACAGACGAGGAGCUUGCUCCUCUGACGUUAGCGGCGGACGGGUGAGUAACACGUGGAUAACCUACCUAUAAGACUGGGAUAACUUCGGGAAACCGGAGCUAAUACCGGAUAAUAUAUUGAACCGCAUGGUUCCAUAGUGAAAGACGGUUUUGCUGUCACUUAUAGAUGGAUCCGCGCCGCAUUAGCUAGUUGGUAAGGUAACGGCUUACCAAGGCAACGAUGCGUAGCCGACCUGAGAGGGUGAUCGGCCACACUGGAACUGAGACACGGUCCAGACUCCUACGGGAGGCAGCAGUAGGGAAUCUUCCGCAAAGGGCGAAAGCCUGACGGAGCAACGCCGCGUGAGUGAUGAAGGUCUUCGGAUCGUAAAACUCUGUUAUUAGGGAAGAACAAAUGUGUAAGUAACUAUGCACGUCUUGACGGUACCUAAUCAGAAAGCCACGGCUAACUACGUG